rnacentral:rRNA from 1 species
CCCGUACCGCAAACCGACACAGGUAGUCAAGAUGAGAAUUCUAAGGUGAGCGAGCGAACUCUCGUUAAGGAACUCGGCAAAAUGACCCCGUAACUUCGGGAGAAGGGGUGCUCUUUAGGGUUAACGCCCAGAAGAGCCGCAGUGAAUAGGCCCAAGCGACUGUUUAUCAAAAACACAGGUCUCUGCUAAACCGUAAGGUGAUGUAUAGGGGCUGACGCCUGCCCGGUGCUGGAAGGUUAAGAGGAGUGGUUAGCUUCUGCGAAGCUACGAAUCGAAGCCCCAGUAAACGGCGGCCGUAACUAUAACGGUCCUAAGGUAGCGAAAUUCCUUGUCGGGUAAGUUCCGACCCGCACGAAAGGCGUAACGAUUUGGGCACUGUCUCAACGAGAGACUCGGUGAAAUCAUAGUACCUGUGAAGAUGCAGGUUACCCGCGACAGGACGGAAAGACCCCGUGGAGCUUUACUGUAGCCUGAUAUUGAAAUUCGGCACAGCUUGUACAGGAUAGGUAGGAGCCUUUGAAACGUGAGCGCUAGCUUACGUGGAGGCGCUGGUGGGAUACUACCCUAGCUGUGUUGGCUUUCUAACCCGCACCACUUAUCGUGGUGGGAGACAGUGUCAGGCGGGCAGUUUGACUGGGGCGGUCGCCUCCUAAAAGGUAACGGAGGCGCUCAAAGGUUCCCUCAGAAUGGUUGGAAAUCAUUCAUAGAGUGUAAAGGCAUAAGGGAGCUUGACUGCGAGACCUACAAGUCGAGCAGGGUCGAAAGACGGACUUAGUGAUCCGGUGGUUCCGCAUGGAAGGGCCAUCGCUCAACGGAUAAAAGCUACCCCGGGGAUAACAGGCUUAUCUCCCCCAAGAGUUCACAUCGACGGGGAGGUUUGGCACCUCGAUGUCGGCUCAUCGCAUCCUGGGGCUGUAGUCGGUCCCAAGGGUUGGGCUGUUCGCCCAUUAAAGCGGUACGCGAGCUGGGUUCAGAACGUCGUGAGACAGUUCGGUCCCUAUCCGUCGUGGGCGUAGGAAAUUUGAGAGGAGCUGUCCUUAGUACGAGAGGACCGGGAUGGACAUACCUCUGGUGUACCAGUUGUCGUGCCAACGGCAUAGCUGGGUAGCUAUGUGUGGACGGGAUAAGUGCUGAAAGCAUCUAAGCAUGAAGCCCCCCUCAAGAUGAGAUUUCCCAACUUCGGUUAUAAGAUCCCUCAAAGAUGAUGAGGUUAAUAGGUUCGAGGUGGAAGCAUGGUGACAUGUGGAGCUGACGAAUACUAAUCGAUCGAAGACUUAAUCAA